rnacentral:snRNA from 1 species
GGCUGAGAGCUUGGGUUUUGUGGUCUGAUUGUCCUGGGUUCAAAUUCUAGCUCUGCCACAUGCAUCCCUCCUGAAGCUGUGCGCUUGGUCGAAGAGGAUGACCUUCCCCGAUAGAGGAGGACUGUUGUUUGGUCAAGGGUAUAGGAGUAGCUGUGCUCCCCUGCUAGAACCUCCAAACAAACUCUCAAAUUCUGGCUCUGGCAGUUUUUACUCUCAACCAGUGACAAAUAUGCUCUGAGCCUCAGUU